GACGAACGCUGGCGGCGUGCUUAACACAUGCAAGUCGAACGGAAAGGCCCUGCUUUUGUGGGGUGCUCGAGUGGCGAACGGGUGAGUAACACGUGAGUAACCUGCCCUUGACUUUGGGAUAACUUCAGGAAACUGGGGCUAAUAUCGGACAUGAGCUCCUGCUGCACGGUGGGGGUUGGAAAGUUUCGGCGGUUGGGGAUGGACGCGCGGCUCAUCAGCUUGUUGGUGGGGUAGUGGGUUACCAAGGCUUUGACGGGUAGCCGGCCUGAGAGGGUGACCGGCCACAAUGGGACUGAGAUACGGCCCAGACUCCUACGGGAGGCAGCAGUGGGAGAUAUUGCAAGAUGGGCGGAAGCCUGAUGCAGCAACGCCGCGUGCGAGAUGACGGCCUUCAGGUUGUAAACCGCUUUCGCCUGUGACGAAGCGUGAGUGACGGUAAUGGGUAAAGAAGCAACGGCUAACUACGUG
rnacentral:rRNA from 1 species